ACAGAGGUGGCGAGCGUUACUCGGAUUUAUUGGGUGUAAAGGGCAGGUAGGUGUCCUUGCAAGUCAGGAGUGAAAUCCUAUGGCUCAACCAUAGAACUGCUUUUGAAACUGUAAGGAUUGAGGAUAGAAGAGGAGAGCGGAAUUCCCGGUGUGAGGGUCAAGUCUGUAGCUCUGCGGCGGAGCAGCAAUUGCGGGAGAAGCAUACUGUUCUAUUCCUGCCGUUGAGCCGCGCAAUCUAGUUGAGCAAACAG
rnacentral:rRNA from 1 species